rnacentral:rRNA from 1 species
AUGGAUGUGGGAGCAUCAACUCCGUUCCUUUGGGCUUUUGAGGAGUGGGAGAAAUUGUUGGAAUUCUAUGAAAGAGUCCCGGGAGCCAGGAUGCAUGCCAGUUUCAUACGACCUGGUGGAGUGGCACAAGAAUCCCCUCUUGGCUUAUGUCGAGAUAUUGAUUCCUCCACACAACACUUUGCUUCUCGUAUCGAAGAGAUGUCAACCAGCAACCGUAUCUGGAAACAACGAUUAGUGGAUAUUGGUACUGUCACUGCACAGCAAGCAAAUGAUUGGGGAUUCAGUGGUGUAAUGUUGCGAGGUCAUGCGACAUGA